rnacentral:tRNA from 2 species
GCCGGGGUAGCUCAGUGGCAGAGCAGCUGAUUCGUAAUCAGCAGGUCGUGGGUUCGAGUCCCAUCUCCGGCUCCA